rnacentral:rRNA from 1 species
AUUGAACGCUGGCGGCAUGCCUUACACAUGCAAGUCGAACGGCAGCACGGGAGCAAUCCUGGUGGCGAGUGGCGAACGGGUGAGUAAUGUAUCGGAACGUACCAUUGAGUGGGGGAUAACGUAGCGAAAGUUACGCUAAUACCGCAUAUACCCUGAGGGGGAAAGCAGGGGAUCGCAAGACCUUGUGCUCUUUGAGCGGCCGAUAUCAGAUUAGCUAGUUGGUGAGGUAAAGGCUCACCAGGGCGACGAUCUGUAGCGGGUCUGAGAGGAUGAUCCGCCACACUGGAACCGAGACACGGUCCAGACUCCUACGGGAGGCAGCAGUGGGGAAUUUUGGACAAUGGGGCAACCCUGAUCCAGCCAUGCCGCGUGAGUGAAGAAGGCCUUCGGGUUGUAAAGCUCUUUCGGCCGGGAGGAAAUCGCAUCAGCUAAUACCUGGUGUGGAUGACAGUACCGGAAUAAGAAGCACCGGCUAACUACGUGCCAGCCGCCGCGGUAA